AUUGAACGCUGGCGGCAUGCCUUACACGUGCAAGUCGAACGGCAGCACGGGUGCUUGCACCUGGUGGCGAGUGGCGAACGGGUGAGUAAUACAUCGGAACGUACCUUAUCGUGGGGGAUAACGCAGCGAAAGCUGUGCUAAUACCGCAUACGCCCUGAGGGGGAAAGCGGGGGAUCGAAAGACCUCGCGCGAUUAGAGCGGCCGAUGCCUGAUUAGCUUGUUGGUGGGGUAAAAGCCCACCAAGGCGACGAUCAGUAGCUGGUCUGAGAGGACGAUCAGCCACACUGGGACGGAGACACGGCCCAGACUCCUACGGGAGGCAGCAGUGGGGAAUUUUGGACAAUGGGGGCAACCCUGAUCCAGCAAUGCCGCGUGAGUGAAGAAGGCCUUCGGGUUGUAAAGCUCUUUUGUCAGGGAAGAAACACCGGCUCUAACACAGUCCGGGAAUGACGGUACCUGAAGAAUAAGUACCGGCUAACUACGUGCCAGCCGCCGCCGUAA
rnacentral:rRNA from 1 species